GACGAACGCUGGCGGCGUGCUUAACACAUGCAAGUCGAACGGAAAGGCCCUGCUUUUGUGGGGUGCUCGAGUGGCGAACGGGUGAGUAACACGUGAGUAACCUGCCCUUGACUUUGGGAUAACUUCAGGUAACUGGGGCUAAUACCGGAUAGGAGCUCCUGCUGCAUGGUGGGGGUUGGAAAGUUUCGGCGGUUGGGGAUGGACUCGCGGCUUAUCAGCUUGUUGGUGGGGUAGUGGCUUACCAAGGCUUUGACGGGUAGCCGGCCUGAGAGGGUGACCGGCCACAUUGGGACUGCGGUACGGACCAGACUCCUACGGGAGGCAGCGGUGGGGAUUAUUACAGAGUGGGCGGGAGCCUGGUGCAGCAACGCCGCGGGCGGGAUGACGGCCUUCGGGUUGUAAACCGCUUUCGCCUGUGACGAAGCGUGAGUGACGGUAAUGGGUAAAGAAGCACCGGCUAACUACGUG
rnacentral:rRNA from 1 species